rnacentral:rRNA from 1 species
GUUUGAUCCUGGCUCAGAGCGAACGCUGGCGGCAGGCCUAACACAUGCAAGUCGAACGCACCUUCGGGUGAGUGGCGGACGGGUGAGUAACACGUGGGAACGUACCUUUAGGUUCGGAAUAACGCAGGGAAACUUGCGCUAAUACCGAAUGUGCCCCCUUCUUUGACUAGAGGGGCGGGAAAGAUUUAUCGCCUUUAGAGCGGCCCGCGUUAGAUUAGCUAGUUGGUGGGGUAAUGGCCCACCAAGGCUACGAUCCAUAGCUGGUCUGAGAGGAUGAUCAGCCACAUUGGGACUGAGACACGGCCCAGACUCCUACGGGAGGCAGCAGUGGGGAAUAUUGGACAAUGGGCGCAAGCCUGAUCCAGCCAUGCCGCGUGGAUGAUGAAGGCCUUAGGGUUGUAAAGUCCUUUCAGCAGGGACGAAGCGCAAGUGACUGUACCUGCAGAAGAAGCACCGGCUAACUACGUGCCAGCAGCCGCGGUAAUCCCCUGUGUGAA